CGUCCCCUCUGCUCGAACCGCGUCUCUAUGGCGGCCGCGACAGCCCACAAGGCGCAGAGCGACAUGAACGCGGAUGCUGAUGGUCAAGGCGGCGCUGUGCUCCCUGCGCAGUCUCGAGAGGGCAGUCCCGUGGCGUGUGACUUCGUCCCAUCGGUGCUGGGGACACGAGAGCAUUGGGAUGCUGUUUAUGAGAGAGAACUGAGAACAUUCCAAGAAUAUGGAGAUACGGGAGAAAUCUGGUUUGGGGAAGAGAGUAUGAACCGACUAAUAAGGUGGAUGCAGAAACACAAGAUCCCAUUGGAUGCCUCAGUGCUUGAUAUUGGAACUGGAAAUGGUGUUUUCCUGGUUGAACUUGUGAAACAUGGUUUCUCUAAUGUAACUGGGAUUGAUUAUUCUCCUUCUGCAAUUAAGCUUUCUGCAAGCAUUCUAGAGAAGGAAGGACUAUCUAACAUUAACUUGAAGGUAGAAGACUUUUUGAGUCUUUCCACAAAGCUGUCUGGAUUUCAUGUUUGUGUUGACAAAGGGACUUUCGAUGCCAUAAGUCUUAAUCCUGACAAUGCAGUUGAGAAGAGGAAGCAAUAUGUGAUGUCUCUCUCCAGGGUUUUGGAAGUAAAAGGCUUUUUUCUAAUAACCUCUUGUAAUUGGACCAAGGCAGAGUUGCUAGAUGUGUUCAGUGAAGGAUUUGAGCUUUUUGAAGAGCUGCCAACACCCAAGUUCAGUUUUGGAGGUAGAUCUGGAAACACUGUAGCAGCUUUGGUUUUUCAAAAAAGUGAGACUUCCUUGGACAAAGUCAGUUAGCUUCCUAGAAGAAACUGUACAGCACAGAAACCUGAUAGAGAAGAAGCAAGUACAAAUAGUGCUUAGUAUGGGUGUGUUCCACCUACAGGAGAACUCAAACAAAACCGACAGGGAAGGAAAACAAAGGACCAGGUGAAUCUCAUCCUUCUGAAAAUGACAAUGAUGAAUGAAAACAAAAGACCUUAGCGUUUGGAUACAGCAGAAUGACAAACUGUUGGAGAGUGAAAAGAUUCACAAGCUUGCAGCCUGGCUUGCCUUACCCAGAGGUCUUCCGUCCAGAGUUGCAAGCGUGACAUUUGCUGUGUUUUCAGCACCUGCCAACUUGGAAACCAGGGUUUGUGCUCAGGACAUAGGCUUACAACCCACACUUUGUGGUGCACAAUGCCGUCCCAGCUGGCAUGCUUUCGUACCUCAAUGGUGCUAGACAUUCGGUUACCAAGCAGCACAGCUUCGCGUGUGCAGAUUUCAUUCCUCUCCAAACUGCUUUCAACUCUUAUUUUGUAUCACAGGAGUGAGAUUAGCAUCAUUAAAUUCACUGCUGUAGUUAUUUUUCAAUGAAAAUAAAUUUGAUUUAUUUUUGGAUUUAAAAAUACAAUUU